AGUCAUAUGCUUGUCUCAAAGAUUAAGCCAUGCAUGUCUCAGUACAAGCCAAAUUAAGGUGAAACCGCGAAAGGCUCAUUAAAUCAGUUAUGGUUCCUUAGAUCGUACCCACAUUUACUUGGAUAACUGUGGUAAUUCUAGAGCUAAUACAUGCAAACAGAGCUCAGACCGGAGACGGAAGGAGCGCUUUUAUUAGAUCAAAACCAAUCGGCGGCGGGUUCGCUCGUCGUCGUACAACUUGGUGAAUCUGAAUAACUUUCUGCUGAUCGCAUGGUCUCGCACCGGCGACGCAUCUUUCAAAUGUCUGCCUUAUCAACUGUCGAUGGUAGGUUCUGCGCCUACCAUGGUUGUAACGGGUAACGGGGAAUCAGGGUUCGAUUCCGGAGAGGGAGCCUGAGAAACGGCUACCACAUCCAAGGAAGGCAGCAGGCGCGCAAAUUACCCACUCCCGGCACGGGGAGGUAGUGACGAAAAAUAACGAUACGGGACUCAUCCGAGGCCCCGUAAUCGGAAUGAGUACACUCUAAACCCUUUAACGAGGAUCAAUUGGAGGGCAAGUCUGGUGCCAGCAGCCGCGGUAAUUCCAGCUCCAAUA
rnacentral:rRNA from 1 species